rnacentral:rRNA from 1 species
CCCUUAGAUGUCCUGGGCCGCACGCGCGCUACACUGAGUGUCUGAGAUACUAGUCUGCCUGGUCCGGCAAGGUCUAGGUAAUCGCUAAAAGACACAUCAUGCUUGGGAUAGAUUAUUGCAAAUAUUAAUCUUGAACGAGGAAUUCCUAGUAAGCGCAAGUCAACAGCUUGCGUUGAUUACGUCCCUGCCCUUUGUACACACCGCCCGUCGCUACUACUGAUUGGAUGUUUAAGCGAGGUUCUCGAACUGCUAGCGACUUAGCUUCGGUGAGGUCGCAGUGUGGGAAGUGAACCUAGCUUUGGUGUCUAGAGGAAGUAAAAGUCGUAACA